rnacentral:rRNA from 1 species
UACGGAGGGUGCAAGCGUUAUCCGGAUUCACUGGGUUUAAAGGGUGCGUAGGUGGGCAAGUAAGUCAGUGGUGAAAUCUCCGGGCUUAACCCGGAAACUGCCAUUGAUACUAUUUGUCUUGAAUACUGUGGAGGUCAGCGGAAUAUGUCAUGUGGCGGUGAAAUGCUUAGAUAUGACAUAGAACACCAAUUGCGAAGGCAGCUGGCUACACAAAUAUUGACACUGAGGCACGAAAGCGUGGGGAUCAAACAGG